rnacentral:lncRNA from 1 species
GGCCCAGAAUAUGCUACUAAAAACUCAUGUGAGGAGAACUUAUAAGGAUUUUUAAAACGAUUUUUUAAAAAGUGGAUUUAUUCCACAAACAUCGAUGAGUGCAUUAUCCUUACAAUUUCUUUAAUUUCCAGGACUGAAUUCUUAGGUCCGGACAACUUUGUCAUUGAAAUUGCUCUUAUUUUUAAGUGACUGCUUCGGAGAACAGUAUAAGCUUGACUUUUAUUCUAAGCUAAUUUGUCCACUUUGUGAUCAUCUGUAAUCUCUACAGUGUGGCCGGCCAUUAUGUGAGGAGUGACAGAAGAGAAGGAAAAAGAGAACUGAAAGGAAACGAACAGUAUUUGAUCAUCGACUACAUUUUAUUCUAACACCUGAAUGGAGAAGAUGGAAGAAAUGGAAGGACUGCAUUUAUUCUGGGGAAAACGAGCGUAAGCUGUUGAAUGAGGCUGAAGCAGCACAAAGCUGAGACGUGAGGGCCUCCUGCACUGUGCAGAUUGAGCCAGUGAUGUACUGUUCACAGGGGAUCAUGUUGUUCAGAUUGGAGGCUCUUAAAAUAGAAGCAGUGGCAAGGAGGUGAGAAAUGGUGGGAAGCUGUACUAAGACCCUAAUAGUGGGAAUGAGAGAGAGAGACUUGGAAGACACUA